rnacentral:misc_RNA from 1 species
UUCUCCUUCUUUGGCUUUCUCUGACCGGUCAGAUCUAAAGAGCAAUCAAUAUCCUCAAUCACAAUAAUAGACUUACCCGUUGUCUGUAUCAGAAGCUUCCUAAGCUCGCUGUUGUCUUUGACUGUAGUCAACUCGAGAUCAUAGACAUCAUAAUUCAAGAAAUUAGCCAUGGCAGCUAUCAUAGUUGAUUUCCCAGUUCCCGGAGGACCAUAAAGGAGAUAACCACGCUUCCAGGCCUUCCCAAUCUUAGUGUAGUAGUCUUUCCCCUUACUGAACUUGAUAAGGUCAUUCUUGACUUCUUGCUUCUUCUUUGUUGCCAUUGCCAAAGUAUCGAAAGUCGCAGGGUGCUCAAACACCACAUGAUUCCACUUACUAGAAUUGUUGGUGUAGAGCUUUCUCUGCCGAUUCUUGAUUGCAAUUUCAUUUCCUUCUUUCACAACAUAAUCUAUAUAAGAUUUGGUGAUUAUAUCUCGAUAACGCCUAUGUACUGUGAGCCUGAAAUAUCUCCUGUCAUCCAAUUCAGGAUAAAAAGAAAAGGACUGUGUUUUGGGGAUGUUUUUUCUUGAAGCCCACCAGAUCUGAAUCCCAUUGAAGUCAUCAGUAAUUUCCUCAUGGUCGUCCAUGGUAAGAAGCACAGACUGAUUUCCCUUGACAGCAUCAGCCAUGAGCCUCUGGGCUCGCUCGGAGGAGUUUGCGCUAAGGUANNNNNNNNGAAUGGCAGAGUAGACCUCGCUGCGCCUGAAACGGUCGCCUGUGUAUUCAUGGAAGGUAAU